GCGGCGUGCUAACACAUGCAGUCGAGCGAUGAAGCGUCUCCUCGGAGACGGUGAUUAGCGGCGGACGGGUGAGUAACACGUGGGUAACCUGCCUCAAAGAGGGGAAUAGCCUCCCGAAAGGGAGAUUAAUACCGCAUAAUAUGUUUAAUCGCAUGAUUGACGACAUCAAAGGAUCUCUUCGGAGAUUCCACUUUGAGAUGGACCCGCGGCGCAUUAGCUAGUUGGUGAGGUAACGGCCCACCAAGGCAACGAUGCGUAGCCGACCUGAGAGGGUGAUCGGCCACAUUGGAACUGAGACACGGUCCAGACUCCUACGGGAGGCAGCAGUGGGGAAUAUUGCGCAAUGGGGGAAACCCUGACGCAGCAACGCCGCGUGAAUGAUGAAGGCCUUCGGGUUGUAAAGUUCUGUCUUCUGGGACGAUAAUGACGGUACCAGAGGAGGAAGCCACGGCUAACUACGUGCCAGCAGCCGAGGUAAUACGUAGGUGGCAAGCGUUGUCCGGAUUUACUGGGCGUAAAGGAUGCGUAGGCGGACAUUUAAGUCAGAUGUGAAAUACCCGAGCUUAACUUGGGUGCUGCAUUUGAAAC
rnacentral:rRNA from 1 species